AAAGACUUGACGGUACUUCAUAANAGCCUAGAGGAGCCUGUCUAAUAACCGAUACCCACGAUUAACCCAACCUGCUCUAGCCUCACAGCCUAUAUACCGCCGUCGCCAGCUUACCUUGUGAAAGAAAUAAAGUAAACAAAACAAGACCACAUCUUAAUACGACAGGUCGAGGUGUAGCCAAUGAGCGGGUAAAAGAUGGGCUACACUUUCUCUCACAGAAAACACGAACAAACUAUGAAACUAGAAACUGAAGGCGGAUUUAGCAGUACAUUAAGAAUAAAAUGCUUAAUAGAAACAUGCAAUGAAGUAUGUACACACCGCCCGUCAUCCCUG
rnacentral:rRNA from 1 species